CAUCGGCCUACGCGUAUCGAAAAAUUCGUUCGCACGAUCGGAGUAUGCGCGGUAAGCUUUAGGUGAACGCCAUUUUACGAGUAAGUUGUGAUUGUGUUAUGUGGUGGAGGAAAGGUUGGGCCACGUAGUUACUUGAUGGGGAAGAAUUUAAUAUUUCUCAUCCACGUUAUUAAACUCGGAAUCGUUCGAUAGUGUAAAUACGUGUUUCAUCGUGAAUAAUGCCACUAAGAUUAGACAUCAAGCGGAAGCUGACCGCCAGGUCGGACAGGGUGAAGAGCGUAGAUCUCCAUCCGACAGAGCCGUGGAUGUUAUGUUCCUUGUAUCAAGGAAACGUUAACAUUUGGAACCAUGAGACUCAGACGUUGGUCAAAACCUUUGAAAUAUGCGAUGUGCCAGUUCGCACAGCCAAGUUCGUUCCUCGCAAAAACUGGGUUGUCACCGGGUCAGACGAUAUGCAAGUUAGAGUAUUCAAUUAUAACACUCUGGAGCGCGUGCACUCCUUCGAAGCUCACAGCGAUUACGUCAGAUGUAUAGCGGUGCAUCCGACACAGCCAUUUAUACUGACUUGCAGUGACGAUAUGCUGAUUAAGCUGUGGAACUGGGAGAAGGGAUGGAUAGGCCAGCAGAUGUUCGAAGGGCAUACGCAUUACGUGAUGCAGAUCGUGUUUAAUCCGAAAGACAAUAACACUUUCGCGAGCGCAUCUUUGGACAGAACGGUGAAAGUGUGGCAGCUCGGAUCCUCCACUGCCAAUUUCACCUUAGAGGGUCACGAGAAAGGCGUGAACUGCGUAGAUUAUUACCACGGCGGGGACAAACCAUAUCUGAUAUCAGGCGCGGACGACAAAUACGUGAAAAUAUGGGAUUAUCAGAACAAAACCUGCGUGCAGACCUUGGAGGGACACACGUACAACAUUACGGCCGUCUGCUUCCAUCCGGAGCUGCCGAUUAUCUUGACGGGAUCGGAAGAUGGUACGGUUCGGAUAUGGCACGCGGGUACGUAUAGAUUAGAGUCCUCUUUGAAUUACGGCUUCGAGAGGGUUUGGACCAUCGCGUGUAUGCGAGGAUCGAACAACGUCUCGAUCGGUUACGACGAAGGCAGCGUUAUGGUGAAGGUGGGACGGGAGGAACCUGCGGUCUCCAUGGAUUCUGUCGGUGGUAAGAUCGUUUGGGCGAAACACAGCGAGAUACAACAGGUGAAUCUGAAGGCUCUGGGGGAGGAGGCGCAGGACGGGGAGAGACUCCCGUUGGCAGUGAAGGACAUGGGCGCCUGCGAGAUUUAUCCGCAGACGAUCCAGCACAAUCCCAAUGGAAGAUUCCUGGUGGUGUGCGGAGACGGAGAGUACAUCAUCUACACGUCGAUGGCCCUGAGGAACAAGGCGUUCGGUCAGGCGUCGGAAUUCGUCUGGGCAGCGGAUUCUAGCCAAUACGCGGUAAGAGAGAGCAAUACCACAGUGAGAGUCUUCAAGAACUUCAAGGAGAAGAAGAGCUUCAAGCCCGAUUACGGUGUCGACGGUAUCUUCGGUGGAUAUCUGUUGGGCGUUUCUCCAGGGUGCGGUCUUUCGUUCUACGACUGGGACACGCUCAAGUUGAUCCGCCGCAUAGACAUUCAACCGACGCACGUCUACUGGGCCGAGAACGCGUCUCUAGUGGCGUUGGCCACGUCCGAACAGUAUUUCAUAUUGAAGUACCACGCCGAUGCCGUUGCUAACGCGCCAGAGAAUUCGGAGGACAUCGAGGAUGCAUUCGAGAUGGUAGCCCAGAUAAGCGAGGUGGUGAAGACUGGUCUUUGGGUCGGCGACUGUUUCAUUUACACGAACAGCGUGAACCGGGUGAACUACUUCGUCGGUGGAGAGGUCGUGACCGUUUCGCACCUGGAUCGACCGAUGUACCUCCUAGGAUACGUUCCGAGAGACAAUAGAUUGUAUUUAUGCGACAAGGAAUUGUCGGUCGUUUCAUAUUCGUUACUGUUAUCCGUGUUAGAGUAUCAAACCGCAGUUAUGCGAAAAGAUUUCGAGACCGCGGACAAAGUCCUUCCCACAGUUCCCAAGGAGCAUCGGACGCGUGUGGCUCACUUCUUGGAGAAGCAGGGCUUCAAAGAAGAAGCGCUGGCGGUGUCCACGGAUCCGGAGCACAGGUUCGAGUUAGCUCUGGCGUUGGGCGAUCUAAACACCGCUCAUUCACUCGCGAAAGAAGCGAACAGCCAACAAAAGUGGCGACAGUUGGCUUCUCUCGCCACGCAAAAGGGUAAAUUGUGCUUGGCGCAAGAAUGUCUACAUCAAGCGCAAGACUUCGGCGGACUUCUGUUACUCGCCACUAGCACUGGAAAUGCAAGCAUGAUACAGAAGCUGGGAACGGACGCUGACGAUACUGGAAAGAACAAUAUAUCGUUCCUCUCGUAUUUCAUCCUUGGCGACUUGGACAAGUGUUUGGAAAUCCUACUGAAAACGGAUAGAAUCCCCGAGGCUGCGUUCUUCGCGAGAACAUACGCUCCUAGCAAGAUCUCGUCGAUCGUGAAAUUGUGGAAGGAGAAACUUUCGGCCGUCAGCGAAAAGGCUGGACAGAGUUUGGCCGAUCCCGAACAGUACGAGAAUCUUUUCCCCGGUUACAGAGAAGCAUUAAAAGUCGAACAGUUCCUGAGGGAAGAGAGCAAGAAGAAGAUCCCGUCGUCCGCGUUCCCGACCGUCCAGUCGAACGUCGAUCGAAAACCAUUCGAGGAAAUGUUGGCGGCUGAACAAGAGAAUCGAUUCAAGGCCAACGUGAACAUCGACGAGUCAAUGACGACGACCGCGGGGGUAAUAACGAACAGGCUGCAAGACUUAAACAUCGGUGGUAAGCUAAUUUCUCCUGCCGAGCAAGCUAGCGCCCCGGAGAAGACCGUGAAGAGCAACAGUAGUUCCAGGCCUCUGACCGUAGAAGAAGACGACCUGGAUCUCGAUCUCGAGAUCGACGAUAACAUAGACACUACUUGCUUGUGAACACACAAAUCUGAAACCGAGCGAGGCACACGUACACUCCGCCUAACGAGCGAGCGUGUGCUGCUGCGCGAUAUAUCGAUCCCCUCCGUUGUGUGCGAACACGUUCUACCUAUCGAGCAAAGCGGAGCACGUAGAAUGAAGAGAAGAAAGAUGAAACGCACGCCGGAAACGAAAAAGGAAGAAACGGUUUACGGAGCUGCGAUGUUCUUGUUUCGCGACUGAAGGUGUGAAUCUCGACGACGAUCUCCUCGAGGAAGAUUAGCCUUUCGAUCGGAAACCGACUGCAAUUUCCAUUCUCCUGUGAAUCAUUCCCCGCGAGCCGACCAGAGUCGUUUAGAGAGCCAAGUAUUACGAACGAUAGACGGAAGUCGUCGAUGGACAUUUUUGUGCGCGAGUGUUUUUAUCAUGCACAAUAUUCAAGCCUGUGCACGUGGAUUUUACUCAUGUCGAGGAUUAUGUAUAUUGUAAUAUAACAAGAAAAGAAACGUUCACGUAUAAGUAUC